UGGUUUUGAUGGUUGCAAUUGACCCAACCCUUCUUAACUGGUGAUGAGGACACUUUGGAUGGCCUACUUUGUAGGCAACCGGUUGCUCCCUGCUAUGCAAAAAAAAGACUUCGAUGGUGAUCUAAUACGCAAAAAAAAGUCUUCGGCGGCGAUCUAAUAAUGUUCGAUGGAUAGGGAAGCCUUAUCAAAAAGAGCAACCACUCGCUACUCUUUCUCCGGCAAAACGACAACAUUUUCUUCUUCGUCGUCACCUAUGGCCGCCGCUUCGUCCAUUCAUCCAGGCUAUUUGGCUGGUUUUCAAAUGCUGAUGUAUUACGAAAGUUCUCAUCUUGCCUUUCCCUCCUUAUCCCCCCAUUCUUCUCUUUAUUGCAAAUAUUGAUUUUGUGCUCCAAUUUUUAGUUUUGGUUAUUUAUCUAGGUUAUUUGGUUGGUUUUCAUAUGCUGAUUUAUAUUGAUUUUCUGCUUCAAUUUUUAGUUUGUAUCUUCAAACUACUACAAUUUUGCGAAAUCAAAAAGGUAUUUGCGAAAUCAAACUACUACAAUUUUGCGAAAUCAAACUACUACAAUUUUUAGUUUGUAUCUUCAAUUUUCAAGCUACUACAAUUGUCUUGGCGAACUUCAGUUUGUAUCUUCUUCUUCCUUUUUACAGUUAAAUUCUUUCUAUAAAUUUCAGCCAUGUAUGGAGGACCAUUUAAAGAUCUUUGUGAGGAAUCUAAAGUAGGAAUUACAUGUGUAAUACUUUCUCCUUUGGAUUUUUCUGAUUCAGAACUUAACUCUGAGGCACAAUGGUGAAUAUCUUUCAAAAUAUCCAAAAGAGAAAACUUGGGUUCAAGAAUUUUAUAAGCUUUACAAUAUUUGUUCUCCACUUCCUGGAUAUAGCCUCUAGGCUAGGCAUAUGAAAACCCAUAUAAUCAAACGCAGAAGGAUUACGUGUCAACAAAAGUUUAAUGGCUCCCGAAGUUCUCACUGCUUUGCUUAUGUGGAUCCUUGCUUAAUAUCUAAGCAGUUUCAGCAUGUAGAGAUUAAAAAACAAUUGUUUCUAACUGAAUCGGCUCUAUUUGUUUGUAAUGAUCUUUGCAAAAUAGUUUUCUUCUGCAGAUUUUUUUUGGUGUAAGUUCCUUAUUAAGUUUUUAUUAAUCGGCUCGCAGUUGUUUUUUUUUUUUUUUUAAGUUUUGUUUGUGUCUCUUGCAAGAUGGUACCUUGAUAUUUCAUUUUAUUUGUUUACUCUGAGUACGAUUGAGUUAAAGGAAGUCUGUUUACACUACACAUUUUAUUUUUUUUCCUUUACCUUACAUAUUGAGAGGAAAAGAUAUGUUGCUUCUUUGUUUGUUGCCAUGGUGAAACUAAUUGUCCUCUUUCGACGCUGUUCUAGUUUACAUUUACACUCUCUACACUUUUUUGCUACUAUGGUGAUUGAUAGGUAGUUUUAUACAGUUUUUUUUUUUUUUAAUUUUUGCUUGACUUAAAUGUAAGAUCUUGAUAUUACAAAGAGCCCUGUAAUGACACUCUUUUUUUAAUAUUCUAUGUAUAUUUUGUCCCUCCUUUUUUAUUCUUUGGUUCUUUAUUCACCUCCUGCCUCUUCCUAUGUGAGUUUAAAGGUUAUUGGAUAUUUAUAAUGGAGCAUAUUUGGUUCUGAAGAAAGGUAUAUUAGGCUUUACCUGUGUGUACGAGUCUUCAAUGAUCAGGGCAGUUUGAGCAGACUAUAUUAAGUAGACCCACUUAAUUCUACCUUUUAUAUACAGCGAAUAUCUUCAUGCAAUUCAGAAUUAUGAAUUUUGAAUUCCAAUUCCAGAAUUCAGCCAUGCCAUUCGGAAUUCCAUGAAGAAUGUGAAGCGGUAAUGACCUUCCCCUUGAAUGUCAGAUGGUUGCGAUGAUCAAGAGAGAUGCGGACCUUCUUGGUUGGUGAUGGGUGUACUUUGGAUGGCCUAUUCUUUAGGCAACCAGUUGCUCUUAUUUGUAUUCGGAAUACUGUCGAUGUGCAUGUGGGUUCUUAUGUAGUUAGCAAUUAAUGCCUAGGGGAAGUCUGAGCAAAGUUUUUUUGUUUUUCCUAUGUUCUUCAUGUAAUUCCGAAUUGCCUAGCUGAAUUCUGAAUUCCCAUGCUAUAAUAGCCUUCUUCUUGAAUGUCAAAUGGUUGCAGUAAUUAAGGAAGGCCCGACUUUCUUGGGUGGUCAUGGGGUGAUGGGUGUACUU